CACAGGAAGUUCCUGUUUUUUAUGCUAAUUUUGGUCACGUGACCAGGAAGUGACGAUUUUAGAUUUUCAGUGAACCACGCGGGCUUCUGCCAUCUUACUGAUAAUUCAAGAUGGCGGCACGCAUCGCAUCUCAGUGAGACCACAGCCGCACUUGUCCAUUGUGGGAGCUUAAGAAGCAUUGUCUUUUUACCUUGUUACAAUCAAUAAAUGAUGAUUGAAGUUGGACGUUCAUCCUGGCUCCGAGGGUUUAUUGAACGCAAGGUUAUCUACUCGACUAGCGGUGCAACGCAGCGCACAGCGAGGCCGAGAUACCUACAAAGACACUGUUCUAAGAUCAAACAUCUGUCUUCUCUCGGCAUUAAUCAACAUCGACAAGACAAAUCGUUUCUGUGUUAUUGUUUUCCAUAUUUCAUGGUCCUUUUCAUUUUGAAUGCCCGGCCCUGGCCCAUACCAGCCUCACCCCCUCGUCCUCUCCCCACCGUCGCAAGAACAACAAAAAAAACGCCCAACGCUCAGCGUAUGCUGAAGGAACAGUCGAGCGUUUCUGAGUCUCCGACUCGCUCUUAAAAGGCGCAGUAUUUGACGAGCGCCAACUGCUUGUAGCGCUCUUUCUACCCACAAUACCACCGGCUCACAACAUCCCGCAUCACAGAUUAUCACGGUUGGCUACGUACGGUACAAAAAAAGUUAAACAUACAUGCAUACACUGCGGUAAACGUCAUCUCUUCACCAGUGUUUUUAUACGGGGUGGGGUCGGGUGAGAGGUUGACGUGGGGUAAAAGGCCUUUUCUGUCUUGGUGCGAACGGAAAUGACAUCAGUGAUGAUGAGGAUGAGGAGGGCACCUGCGGCUGCUCUAGAGGGGGGCACCAGCCUAGAGGAGGACACCUGCUGCCACUACUGCUGCUGCCGCUGGUUACUAAAGGUCCACAGAUGAACCACGCAUGGCAAUUGUCUUCAACUGGCUCUGUGGCUGCCCGGGCACACUUCAAUUGGCUAAGGAGUAGUUUGUUGUUUAUGUACGGUGUGAAAGAAGUUCAACAUGCGUACAUACACAUCAAAGUGAAUGGCCAUAAACAGCCAGUAACUCUCCAAUUGGCUGCCGAGUAGAAAGUGGGUGCCGAGGAAACGCAAAGAGGCAGUGACGUUGGCACGGGGCACUCUUUCUCUUCUACUCUCAACUUCGCGCUUCAUCUUCCUACGCGGUGUUCCGUCUCUUUGGGGUGAAAUAAAUAAACCUGCAAAGA